CAUGCGGCCUUUGACCAUCGCUGCCACGCGUCGCCUCCCAGUGGCCGUUGGUGGAAAUGUCCGUGGGCGCUGGGCUCAUUGCCCACCUGGGGGCAUCUUGGCCCACCUGGCGGCAUCUUCGCCCAGGCACACCUCAGAGAGAUGGCAGGUUCGGUUCUAGACCACCACAAUAAAACGAAUGUCACAAUAAAUGCUCACAGCGUCCUCACCAGCCAGGAGUCGAUUCUAUCUCAAGAAACCACUUUCUCUGCUCAUCCACGAGAAGCGGCUCCCCAUCCGCUCAGGUUUGACCGUGAGAUGGCGACGAUUCCGCCCCAUCCUCAGGCCCCACUUCUGACUCAGUUCCCUUGCGGUUUCCGGCACACCUGCAGCGCCUUCCUCCCCUGGAGGCUGGGACCCCAAAGUCACCCGUGAGGGCUGGAGUCUGCUUCCAAACUCCUGUUAAUUUGAUAGUGUUACCUGCUCCCAUGAGUCUCAGAUGUUCUUAUGGCGUCUGGGAUGGCGAAUCCUUCCCAGAAGGUUUCAGUGUUCUUUGCCCAGAUCCAUCAGAGGAAUCGCUGUCUGUGGCAGCUGCGGCCUUAUGGAAUGUAUGACUUGAAUGAUAACACGUGAAAGUCAGAAUUACUCUUGAUCCAUGGGCUGCAGAAUGGGUGUCACAUUAGCAGACGUGAAAACAACAUUAAUAUCCUUGCACAUUUCCUUCUGAGCUCUUGGGUGACCGGGUGCUUUGUCAGUGAGCAGGGAUAUUUUGAAAGGAAUCUUCUUUUCUGAGUAGUAGGUCUCAGCAGAGGGUUAAAAAUAUUCAGUAAACCAUGCUGUAAACAGA